rnacentral:rRNA from 1 species
UACGUCGGGGGCAAGCGUUGUCCGGAAUCAUUGGGCGUAAAGCGCACGUAGGCGGUCGGCUAUGUCGGAUGUGAAAGCCUCGGGCUUAACCCGAGAAGGGCAUCCGAAACUGGCCGGCUUGAGUACGGAAGAGGGUCUCGGAAUUCCCGGUGUAGAGGUGAAAUUCGUAGAUAUCGGGAGGAACACCAGUGGCGAAGGCGGAGACCUGGGCCGAUACUGACGCUGAGGUGCGAAAGCGUGGGGAGCAAACAGG